GAUCCUGGCUCAGGAUGAACGCUAGCGACAGGCUUAACACAUGCAAGUCGAGGGGCAUCAUGAGGUAGCAAUACCUUGAUGGCGACCGGCGCACGGGUGAGUAACGCGUAUGCAACCUGCCUGAUACCGGGGUAUAGCCCAUGGAAACGUGGAUUAACACCCCAUAGUACUUUUAUCCUGCAUGGGAUGUGAGUUAAAUGUUUAAGGUAUCGGAUGGGCAUGCGCCCUAUUUAG
rnacentral:rRNA from 1 species